rnacentral:rRNA from 1 species
CAGGCCUAACUCAUGCAGUCGAGCGGAAACGGCAGUAUUGAAACUUCGGUGGAUUUACUGGCCGUCGUUUUGCAGACGGGUGAGUAACGGCUGGGAACCUGCCCUGACGAGGGGGAUAACCGUUGGAAAUGACGGCUAAUACCGCAUAAUGUCUUGAUUCGUUAGAGUCAGGACCAAAGGUGGCCUCUACAUGUAAGCUAUCGCGUUGGGAUGGGCCCAGUUAGGAUUAGCUAGUUGGUAAGGUAAUGGCUUACCAAGGCAACGAUCCUUAGCUGGUUUGAGAGGAUGAUCAGCCACACUGGGACUGAAACACGGCCCAGACUCCUACGGGAGGCAGCAGUGGGGAAUAUUGCACAAUGGGGGAGACCCUGAUGCAGCCAUGCCGCGUGUGUGAAGAAGGCCUUCGGGUUGUAAAGCACUUUCAGCAGUGAGGAAGGUCGUGUACUUAAUACGUGCACGGCUUGACGUUAGCUGCAGAAGAAGCACCGGCUAACUCCGUGCCAGCAGCCGCGGUAAUACGGAGGGUGCGAGCGUUAAUCGGAAUUACUGGGCGUAAAGCGCAUGCAGGCGGUUUGUUAAGUCAGAUGUGAAAGCCCGGGGCUCAACCUCGGAACCGCAUUUGAAACUGGCAGGCUAGAGUCUUGUAGAG